rnacentral:rRNA from 1 species
GUGCCAGCAGCCGCGGUAAUACGUAGGUGGCAAGCGUUAUCCGGAAUUAUUGGGCGUAAAGCGCGCGUAGGCGGUUUUUUAAGUCUGAUGUGAAAGCCCACGGCUCAACCGUGGAGGGUCAUUGGAAACUGGAAAACUUGAGUGCAGAAGAGGAAAGUGGAAUUCCAUGUGUAGCGGUGAAAUGCGCAGAGAUAUGGAGGAACGCCAGUGGCGAAGGCGACUUUCUGGUCUGUAACUGACGCUGAUGUGCGAAAGCGUGGGGAUCAAACAGGAUUAGAUA